rnacentral:rRNA from 1 species
AGAGUUUGAUCGUGGCUCAGAUUGAACGCUGGCGGCAGGCUUAACACAUGCAAGUCGAGCGGAGAUGAGGUGCUUGCACCUUAUCUUAGCGGCGGACGGGUGAGUAAUGCUUAGGAAUCUGCCUAUUAGUGGGGGACAACAUUCCGAAAGGAAUGCUAAUACCGCAUACGUCCUACGGGAGAAAGCAGGGGAUCUUCGGACCUUGCGCUAAUAGAUGAGCCUAAGUCGGAUUAGCUAGUUGGUGGGGUAAAGGCCUACCAAGGCGACGAUCUGUAGCGGGUCUGAGAGGAUGAUCCGCCACACUGGGACUGAGACACGGCCCAGACUCCUACGGGAGGCAGCAGUGGGGAAUAUUGGACAAUGGGGGGAACCCUGAUCCAGCCAUGCCGCGUGUGUGAAGAAGGCCUUAUGGUUGUAAAGCACUUUAAGCGAGGAGGAGGCUACUGAGACUAAUACUCUUGGAUAGUGGACGUUACUCGCAGAAUAAGCACCGGCUAACUCUGUGCCAGCAGCCGCGGUAAUACAGAGGGUGCGAGCGUUAAUCGGAUUUACUGGGCGUAAAGCGUGCGUAGGCGGCUUUUUAAGUCGGAUGUGAAAUCCCCGAGCUUAACUUGGGAAUUGCAUUCGAUACUGGGAAGCUAGAGUAUGGGAGAGGAUGGUAGAAUUCCAGGUGUAGCGGUGAAAUGCGUAGAGAUCUGGAGGAAUACCGAUGGCGAAGGCAGCCAUCUGGCCUAAUACUGACGCUGAGGUACGAAAGCAUGGGGAGCAAACAGGAUUAGAUACCCUGGUAGUCCAUGCCGUAAACGAUGUCUACUAGCCGUUGGGGCCUUUGAGGCUUUAGUGGCGCAGCUAACGCGAUAAGUA